rnacentral:rRNA from 1 species
GCAGCAGUGAGGAAUAUUGGUCAAUGGACGUAAGUCUGAACCAGCCAAGUAGCGUGCAGGAUUGACGGCCCUAUGGGUUGUAAACUGCUUUUGUUGGGGAGUAAAGUGAGGCACGCGUGCCUUUUUGCAUUUACCCUUCGAAUAAGGACCGGCUAAUUCCGUGCCAGCAGCCGCGGUAAUACGGAAGGUCCAGGCGUUAUCCGGAUUUAUUGGGUUUAAAGGGAGUGUAGGCGGUCUGUUAAGCGUGUUGUGAAAUUUAGGUGCUCAACAUUUAACUUGCAGCGCGAACUGGCGGACUUGAGUGCACGCAACGUAUGCGGAAUUCAUGGUGUAGCGGUGAAAUGCUUAGAUAUCAUGACGAACUCCGAUUGCGAAGGCAGCGUACGGGAGUGUUACUGACGCUUAAGCUCGAAGGUGCGGGUAUCGAACAGGAUUAGAUACCCUGGUAGUCCGCACGGUAAACGAUGGAUGCCCGCUGUUAGCGCCUGGCGUUAGCGGCUAAGCGAAAGCAUUAAGCACCCCACCUGGGGAGUACGCCGGCAACGGUGAAACUCAAAGGAAUUGACGG